rnacentral:rRNA from 1 species
GACGAACGCUGGCGGCGUGCUUAACACAUGCAAGUCGAACGAGAAGAGAUGAGAAGCUUGCUUCUUAUCAAUUCGAGUGGCAAACGGGGUGAGUAACGCGUAAGCAACCUGCCCUUCAGAUGGGGACAACAGCUGGAAACGGCUGCUAAUACCGAAUACGUUCUUUUUGUCGCAUGGCAGAGGGAAGAAAGGGAGGCUCUUCGGAGCUUUCGCUGAAGGAGGGGCUUGCGUCUGAUUAGCUAGUUGGAGGGGUAACGGCCCCGACCAAGGCGACGAUCAGUAGCCGGUCUGAGAGGAUGAACGGCCACAUUGGGACUGAGACACGGCCCAGACUCCUACGGGAGGCAGCAGUGGGGAAUCUUCCGCAAUGGACGAAAGUCUGACGAGCAACGCCGCGUGAACGAUGACGGCCUCGGUUGUAAGUUCUGUUAUACGGACGAAUGGCGUAGCGGUCAAUACCCGUUACGAGUGACGGUACCGUAAGAG